rnacentral:rRNA from 1 species
ACAGGUGGUCAGGUAGAGAAUACUCAGGCGCUUGAGAGAACUCGGGUGAAGGAACUAGGCAAAAUGGUGCCGUAACUUCGGGAGAAGGCACGCUGGCAUUAGGUAAAGGGACUUGCUCCCGGCGCCGAAGCCAGUCGCAGAUACCAGCUGGCUGCAACUGUUUAAUAAAAACACAGCACUGUGCAAACACGAAAGUGGACGUAUACGGUGUGACGCCUGCCCGGUGCUGGAAGGUUAAUUGAUGGGGUCAGCCGCAAGGCGAAGCUCUUGAUCGAAGCCCCAGUAAACGGCGGCCGUAACUAUAACGGUCCUAAGGUAGCGAAAUUCCUUGUCGGGUAAGUUCCGACCUGCACGAAUGGCGUAAUGAUGGCCAGGCUGUCUCCACCCGAGACUCAGUGAAAUUGAACUCGCUGUGAAGAUGCAGUGUACCCGCGGCAAGACGGAAAGACCCCGUGAACCUUUACUAUAGCUUGACACUGAACAUUGAGCCUUGAUGUGUAGGAUAGGUGGGAGGCAUAGAAGUGUGGACGCCAGUCUGCAUGGAGCCAACCUUGAAAUACCACCCUUUAAUGUUUGAUGUUCUAACUCGGCCCCGUAAUCCGGGGUGAGGACAGUGUCUGGUGGGUAGUUUGACUGGGGCGGUCUCCUCCCAAAGAGUAACGGAGGAGCACGAAGGUUAGCUAAUCACGGUCGGACAUCGUGAGGUUAGUGCAAAGGCAUAAGCUAGCUUGACUGCGAGAGUGACGGCUCGAGCAGGUACGAAAGUAGGUCUUAGUGAUCCGGUGGUUCUGAAUGGAAGGGCCAUCGCUCAACGGAUAAAAGGUACUCCGGGGAUAACAGGCUGAUACCGCCCAAGAGUUCAUAUCGACGGCGGUGUUUGGCACCUCGAUGUCGGCUCAUCACAUCCUGGGGCUGAAGUAGGUCCCAAGGGUAUGGCUGUUCGCCAUUUAAAGUGGUACGCGAGCUGGGUUUAGAACGUCGUGAGACAGUUCGGUCCCUAUCUGCCGUGGGCGUUGGAAGAUUGAGAGGGGCUGCUCCUAGUACGAGAGGACCGGAGUGGACGAAUCACUGGUGUUCGGGUUGUCAUGCCAAUGGCAUUGCCCGGUAGCUAAAUUCGGAAGAGAUAACCGCUGAAAGCAUCUAAGCGGGAAACUUGCCUCGA